GGAUUGUGGCUCAGUGGUAAAGCGCUUGCCUACUGCACGUGGGACCUGGGUUCGAUUCUCAGCACCA
rnacentral:tRNA from 1 species